AGGCCUAACACAUGCAAGUCGAGCGGUAACAGAUCUAGCUUGCUAGAUGCUGACGAGCGGCGGACGGGUGAGUAAUGCAUAGGAAUCUGCCCGGUAGUGGGGGAUAACCUGGGGAAACCCAGGCUAAUACCGCAUACGUCCUACGGGAGAAAGGGGGCUUCGGCUCCCGCUACGGGAUGAGCCUAUGUCGGAUUAGCUAGUUGGUAGGGUAAAGGCCUACCAAGGCAACGAUCCGUAGCUGGUCUGAGAGGAUGAUCAGCCACAUCGGGACUGAGACACGGCCCGAACUCCUACGGGAGGCAGCAGUGGGGAAUAUUGGACAAUGGGGGCAACCCUGAUCCAGCCAUGCCGCGUGUGUGAAGAAGGCCUUCGGGUUGUAAAGCACUUUCAGCGAGGAAGAACGCCUAGCGGUUAAUACCCGUUAGGAAAGACAUCACUCGCAGAAGAAGCACCGGCUAACUCCGUGCCAGCAGCCGCGGUAAUACGGAGGGUGCAAGCGUUAAUCGGAAUUACUGGGCGUAAAGCGCGCGUAGGUGGCUUGAUAAGCCGGUUGUGAAAGCCCCGGGCUCAACCUGGGAACGGCAUCCGGAACUGUCAGGCUAGAGUGCAGGAGAGGAAGGUAGAAUUCCCGGUGUAGCGGUGAAAUGCGUAGAGAUCGGGAGGAAUACCAGUGGCGAAGGCGGCCUUCUGGACUGACAC
rnacentral:rRNA from 1 species